UACGUAGGGGCCUAGCGUUGUCCGGAUUUAUUGGGCGUAAAGAGCUCGUAGGCGGUUUGGUGAGUCGGGUGUGAAAUCUCCACGCUCAACGUGGAGGGGCCACCCGAUACUGCCAUGACUAGAGUCCGGUAGGGGAGUGUGGAAUUCCCGGUGUAGCGGUGAAAUGCGCAGAUAUCGAGAGGAAUACCAAAGGCGAAGGCAGGUCACUGGGCAGUUACUGACACUGAGGCACGAAGGCUAGGGGAGCAAACGGG
rnacentral:rRNA from 1 species